GGUAUUUUGACUAUACAAAGGUAUUGAAAUAAGAUUUUAAUUGAAUGCUAAGAGAAUGGAAUUUCAGAAAAAAACUUUUUUCAAGUUAAAAAUUGAAAUUUUUUUAAUUUGUGCAGAAACAAUUAUUAAUAUUAAGGACAAGAAGACCCUAUGAAUUUAUAAAUUUUAUUUAAUAUGUAACUACUAUUGAAAAAAUUUUAGCUGGGGCGGCGGAAAAAUAUUUAAAACUUUUUUAAAAUAAAAUGACCCAUUAUUAAUGAUUAUAUGUUAAAUACUCUAGGGAUAACAGCGUUAUAUUUUUUGAUAGAUCAUAUUGACAAAAAAGUUUGCGACCUCGAUGUUGGAUUAGGAUACUUUUUUAAUGCAGAUAUUAAAAAAAGAAGUUUGUUCAACUUUUAAUUUCCU
rnacentral:rRNA from 1 species